CGCGUAGGUGGUUUGAUAAGUUGGAUGUGAAAGCCCCGGGCUUAACCUGGGAAUUGCAUUCGAUACUGUCAGACUAGAGUCUGGUAGAGGGUGGCGGAAUUCCCGGUGUAGCGGUGAAAUGCGUAGAUAUCGGGAGGAACAUCAGUGGCGAAGGCGGCCACCUGGACCAAGACUGACGCUGAGGUGCGAAAGCGUGGGUAGCAAACA
rnacentral:rRNA from 1 species